rnacentral:rRNA from 1 species
GAUGAACGCUAGCGAUAGGCUUAACACAUGCAAGUCGAGGGGCAGCAUGGUCUUAGCUUGCUAAGGCUGAUGGCGACCGGCGCACGGGUGCGUAACGCGUAUGCAACUUGCCUCACAGAGGGGGAUAACCCGUCGAAAGACGGACUAAUACCGCGUACACUCUAUGUUGGGCAUCCAAUGUAGAGGAAAUGAAAUUCGCUGUGAGAUAGGCAUGUGUCCCAUUAGCUAGUUGGUGAGGUAACGGCUCACCAAGGCGACGAUGGGUAGGGGAACUGAGAGGUUGAACCCCCACACUGGUACUGAGACACGGACCAGACUCCUACGGGAGGCAGCAGUGAGGAAUAUUGGUCAAUGGGCGAGAGCCUGAACCAGCCAAGUCGCGUGAAGGAUGACUGUCUUAUGGAUUGUAAACUUCUUUUAUACGGGAAUAACAAGAGUCACGUGUGGCUCCCUGCAUGUACCGUAUGAAUAAGCAUCGGCUAACUCCGUG